GCCGUGAGGCGGCCGGGCGAAGGCCUCGCCAACCUGGUCAGGGCCGGAAGGCAGCAGCCACAACGAAUUCACCUUCGAGUCGGUCGUCUCACUUUGCU
rnacentral:SRP_RNA from 1 species